rnacentral:rRNA from 1 species
GACGAACGCUGGCGGCGUGCUUAACACAUGCAAGUCGAACGGUUAAGGGACCGGUUUUUGCUGGUUCUGGAUGAGUGGCGAACGGGUGAGUAACACGUGAGUAACCUGCCCCCUUCUUCUGGAUAACCGCAUGAAAGUGUGGCUAAUACGGGAUAUUCUGCGCCUGCUGCAUGGUGGGUGUGGGAAAGAUAUUGUUUCGGUGGGGGAUGGGCUCGCGGCCUAUCAGCUUGUUGGUGGGGUGAUGGCCUACCAAGGCGGUGACGGGUAGCCGGCCUGAGAGGGUGGACGGUCACACUGGGACUGAGACACGGCCCAGACUCAUACGGGAGGCAGCAGUGGGGAAUAUUGCACAAUGGGCGCAAGCCUGAUGCAGCGACGCCGCGUGAGGGAUGGAGGCCUUCGGGUUGUAAACCUCUUUCGCCAGUGAAGCAGGCCUGUCCCUUUUGUGGGUGGGUUGACGGUAGCUGGAGAAGAAGCGCCGGCUAACUACGUG